GAUGAACGCUGGCGGCGUGCCUAAUACAUGCAAGUCGAGCGAACAGACGAGGAGCUUGCUCCUCUGACGUUAGCGGCGGACGGGCGGGUAACACGUGGAUAACCUACCUAUAAUACUGGGAUAACUUCGGGAAACCGGAGCUAAUACUGCAUAAUAUAUUGUACCGCUUGAAUCAGUAGUGCAUCACGGCUUUGCUGUCACUUAUAGAUGGUUCCGCGCCGCAUUAGCUAGUUGGUAAGGUAACGGCCUACCAAGGCGACGAUGCGUAGCCGAUCUGAGAGGGUGAUCAGCCACACUGGAACUGAGACACGGUCCAGACUCCUACGGGAGGCAGCAGUGGGGAAUAUUCGACAAUGGGCGAAAGCCUGACGGAGCAACGCCGCGUGAGUGAUGAAGGUCUUCGGAUCGUAAAGCUCUGUUAUUAGGGAAGAACAACAGUGGAAGAAACUAUGGACGUUCUGACGGUACCUAAUCAGAAAGCCACGGCUAACUACGUG
rnacentral:rRNA from 1 species